AUUGAACGCUGGCGGCAUGCUUUACACAUGCAAGUCGAACGGCAGCACGGGUGCUUGCACCUGGUGGCGAGUGGCGAACGGGUGAGUAAUGCAUCGGAACGUGCCCAUGAGUGGGGGAUAGCCCGGCGAAAGCCGGAUUAAUACCGCAUACGCCCUUAGGGGGAAAGCGGGGGAUCUUCGGACCUCGCGCUAUUGGAGCGGCCGAUGUCGGAUUAGCUAGUAGGUGAGGUAAAGGCUCACCUAGGCGACGAUCCGUAGCUGGUCUGAGAGGAUGAUCAGCCACACUGGGACUGAGACACGGCCCAGACUCCUACGGGAGGCAGCAGUGGGGAAUUUUGGACAAUGGGCGCAAGCCUGAUCCAGCCAUGCCGCGUGAGUGAAGAAGGCCUGGUGUAAG
rnacentral:rRNA from 1 species